rnacentral:rRNA from 1 species
UACGUAGGGUGCGGGCGUAAUCGGAAUUACUGGGCGUAAAGCGUGCGCAGGCGGCUCCUUAAGUCAGAUGUGAAAUCCCCGGGCUUAACCUGGGAACUGCGUUUGAAACUGAGGGGCUAGAGUGUGGAAGAGGGGGGUGGAAUUCCAGGUGUAGCAGUGAAAUGCGUAGAGAUCUGGAGGAACACCGAUGGCGAAGGCAGCCCCCUGGGCUAACACUGACGCUCAUGCACGAAAGCGUGGGGAGCAAACAGG